UUCCUCGGUACUGAAGUUAACACAUUAAGUACCCCGCCUGAGUAGUACGUACGCAAGUAUGAAACUUAAAGGAAUUGACGGGAUCCCGCACAAGCGGUGGAUCAUGUUGUUUAAUUCGAAGAUACACGAAAAACCUUACCAGGUCUUGACAUUAUCCUGCGAAGCUAUAGAAAUAUAGGGGAGGUUAUCAGGAUGACAGGUGGUGCAUGGUUGUCGUCAGCUCGUGUCGUGAGAUGUUAGGUUAAGUCCUAAAACGAGCGCAACCCUUGUCGUUAGUUACCAGCACGUUAUGGUGGGGACUUUAGCGAGACUGCCAAUGAAAAAAUUGGAGGAAGGUGAGGAUUACGUCAAAUCAUCAUGCCCCUUAUGAUCUGGGCUACAAACGUGAUACAAUGGCUAUUACAAAGAGCAGCUGAAACGUGAGUUGUUAGCUAAUCUCAAAAAAAUAGUCUCAGUUCGGAUUGAAGUCUGCAACUCGACUUCAUGAAGUUGGAAUCGCUAGUAAUCGCGAAUCAGCAUGUCGCGGUGAAUACGUUCUCGGGGUUUGUACACACCGCCCGUCAAACCAUGAAAGUUGACAAUACCCAAAACCAGUCGCUUAACUACUUCGGUAGAGGGAGCUGUCUAAGGUAGGGUCGAUGAUUGGGGUUAAGUCGUAACAAGGCAUCCCUACCGGAAGGUGGGGAUGGAUCACCUCCUUUCUAAGGAAAUGUCGUAUCAUGAUCAUCUUCAGUUUUGAAAGACUUAGAGUAGAUAAGUUUUUCUUUUGGCGUAGAGGAAGGGCCUAUAGCUCAGUUGGUAGAGCACACGCUUGAUAAGCGUGCGGUCAAUGGUUCAAGUCCAUUUAGGCCCACAUACCUC
rnacentral:rRNA from 1 species